CAGUAGCCACGGGAAUACGGAGGGUGCAAGCGUUAUCCGGAUUUAUUGGGUUUAAAGGGUCCGUAGGCGGAUCUGUAAGUCAGUGGUGAAAUCUCACAGCUUAACUGUGAAACUGCCAUUGAUACUGCAGGUCUUGAGUAAAUUUGAAGUGGCUGGAAUAAGUAGUGUAGCGGUGAAAUGCAUAGAUAUUACUUAGAACACCAAUUGCGAAGGCAGGUCACUAAGAUUUAACUGACGCUGAUGGACGAAAGCGUGGGGAGCGAACAGGAUUAGAUACCCGCGUAGUCCCUGUCUCUUAUAC
rnacentral:rRNA from 1 species